AACCAUUAGGGGGCUGUGGUUUGCCUGGGCAGGAGGUGGAAGGGGCCCCAUUUACAGUGGUAACUUCCUUUCCCUUUCCAUCCUGGCAGGCUUCAGAGAACUUUACCAG
rnacentral:miRNA from 1 species